UCCCUUCUCUCUGAGGUUGAAAAGGGGCUGGGAGAGAUUUGGAGGGAGCUCCACCUCAGCUGUGGGCUGACAGAAGGCAGGACUCAGGACUGUCACCAACAUGGCCCUGUCCCCUCUCCUCCUUGCCCUCAUUGCUCACUGCACAGGGUCCUGGGCCCAGGCAGUGCUGACUCAGCCACCCUCGGUGUCUGGGGCUCUGGGCCAGACGGUCACCAUCUCCUGCUCUGGGAGCAGCACCAACAUCGGAGACUAUGAUGUGAACUGGUACCAGCAGCUCCCAGGAAAGGCCCCCAAACUCCUCAUCUAUGAUAGCAGCAAUCGAGACUCAGGAGUCCCCGAUCGAUUCUCUGGCUCCAAGUCUGGCAACUCGGGCUCCCUGAGCAUCACCGGGCUCCAGUCAGAGGAUGAGGCUGUUUAUUACUGUCAGUCCUAUGACAGCAGUGAUGCUCACACAGUGCUCCAGGGCCAUGGGGAAAUCCAUCCAGCCAGCUGUGCCUGGGGUGGCAUGUGGGAGGUGGCCCAGAUGCCCAAGCCAGACCCCAGGAUGGAUGGCUUCUCACAGGGCAAGCUGUGA